CUCGUAGGCGGUUUGUCGCGUCGGGAGUGAAAACCUCGGGCUUAACUCGGGGCUUGCUUUCGAUACGGGCAGACUGGAGGUAUGCAGGGGAGAACGGAAUUCCUGGUGUAGCGGUGAAAUGCGCAGAUAUCAGGAGGAACACCGGUGGCGAAGGCGGUUCUCUGGGCAUGACCUGACGCUGAGGAGCGAAAGUGUGGGGAGCGAACA
rnacentral:rRNA from 1 species